rnacentral:rRNA from 1 species
AGGAUUAACGCUGGCGGCGUGCCUAACACAUGCAAGUCGAACGAGGUAGCAAUACCUAGUGGCAGACGGGUGAGUAACGCGUGGUCAACCUACCGUUGAGUGGGGGAUAACUAGCCGAAAGGUUAGCUAAUACCGCAUACGAGUCUCGGGGGCAUCCCUGAGCCUUAAAAGGAGCAAUCCGCUCGAUGACGGGACCGCGUCCCAUUAGCUAGAUGGUGGGGUAACGGCCUACCAUGGCACCGAUGGGUAGCUGGUUUGAGAGAGCGACCAGCCACACUGGGACUGAGAAACGGCCCAGACUCCUACGGGAGGCAGCAGUGAGGAAUUUUCCGCAAUGGGCGAAAGCCUGACGGAGCGACGCCGCGUGUGGGAAGAAGGCCUUCGGGUCGUAAACCACUGUCGAAGGGGACGAUAAUGACGGUACCCUUGGAGGAAGCCCCGGCUAACUACGCGCCAGCAGCCGC